UUAGUGUUGGCCGAGGACCGGUUACAUAAGUCAUGUGUUACACGGACUUCCAUCAACUGACAGUUAAGCAGACACAAUUUAGCAUGCAAUUCAAAGAAUUACACUUUUUAUAAGGCAAUACAAUAGCACUCAUGCUUUUCACAGGAGAGUCAUCACCGCCCUCCAGCUUACCACAGGAUCACUUACAUAACUGGAAAACAGUAAGAUAGAUGACAACCAGCAUGGCACACUGACAGCAAGAACAAAUGACCAUUGACACAAGAGGGACUUGGAGAGAAGGGCAGCAUCUCCAGAUACAAAUUUUGGAAAUAACAUAUCAAGCAGAAAGGUAAGCUCAAGCAAGGAUAUUGAAUGAAGAAAGUACACUGGAUUUGAGAAAACAGCAAACUAGCAGAUCUGGGUAGAAACCAAAUAAUGCAUGGAGGAUACGGGAAAUAAAGCUGACAAGUGGAAAGGAAUUAUGACAUCCUUGCCCUGGUAUUACCCCAAGAUGAAGCCAAAAAGGAUUUUUUGAUGAAGUAGAUACAAAAGGAAAGAAUGAAGUCAAGGAUGAUCCUGAAAUUUUUCACCUACACAAGUAGAACUGAAUGGUCAUUUUCACCAAAAUAGUUCUCCCAUUCAAAGAAGCCACUUAUUCUUCACUAUCUCAAUUUCUUCAUCUGCCAUCAUAUCUGAGCAUUUUGGUAACAAAAUUGAAAUGCACAUAAGAAAAUAUAAAGUAG